CUCUCCCUCUCCCUCUCUCUCUCUUCCCUCUUCCCUCUCCCUCCCUGCUCCUUCAUUUUCACCGCCUUGCUACUUAUCGCCGCCUGGGCCACCCUCCUUCCUCUUCUCUUUUUCUCUUUUCAUUCUAUUCUCCUCUUUUCAGUUUGUUUCUUCUGCAGCCGUUGACCCGUCACUGUCUCGACCAUUCGCCACCUCAGCCGGCUUCCUUCCUCUUCUCUUUUUCUUUUUCUUCUCUUCUCUUUUUCUUUUUCCUUUCUCUUCUCCUCUUCUUCUCUUCUCUCUUUCUUUCCAUCGCCGCCGUCUCUCUGCCGCCCCAGAUUUUUUUUCUGACUCCAUCAUCAUUCAGGGAUUCAGAAGAAGAUAUUAGCGAAUCAGAAGAUACUUUCGGUGAUAAUAAUUCGUCAUCCCAUUCCAACCAGUCACCUUGAGAAGAUUGUGAAAAUGAAUUUGAUCCCCUUUUGUAAUUAUGAAUACUUUAAAUUAUAUGACAUUUAUUUUGUGGAUUGUAUUGAAUUAUUUUUA